rnacentral:rRNA from 1 species
UACGAACCGUGCGAACGUUGUUCGGAAUCACUGGGCUUAAAGGGCGCGUAGGCGGGCUGACAAGUCUGGGGUGAAAUCCCGCGGCUCAACCGUGGAACUGCCUUAGAUACUGUCGGCCUCGAGGAAGGUAGGGGCAUGCGGAACUGUAGGUGGAGCGGUGAAAUGCGUUGAUAUCUACAGGAACUCCGGUGGCGAAAGCGGCGUGCUGGACCUUUUCUGACGCUGAGGCGCGAAAGCCAGGGGAGCAAACGGG